rnacentral:rRNA from 1 species
CCUUUUGUAUAAUGGGUCAGCGACUUAUAUUCUGUAGCAAGGUUAACCGAAUAGGGGAGCCGAAGGGAAACCGAGUCUUAACUGGGCGUUAAGUUGCAGGGUAUAGACCCGAAACCCGGUGAUCUAGCCAUGGGCAGGUUGAAGGUUGGGUAACACUAACUGGAGGACCGAACCGACUAAUGUUGAAAAAUUAGCGGAUGACUUGUGGCUGGGGGUGAAAGGCCAAUCAAACCGGGAGAUAGCUGGUUCUCCCCGAAAGCUAUUUAGGUAGCGCCUCGUGAAUUCAUCUCCGGGGGUAGAGCACUGUUUCGGCAAGGGGGUCAUCCCGACUUACCAACCCGAUGCAAACUGCGAAUACCGGAGAAUGUUAUCACGGGAGACACACGGCGGGUGCUAACGUCCGUCGUGAAGAGGGAAACAACCCAGACCGCCAGCUAAGGUCCCAAAGUCAUGGUUAAGUGGGAAACGAUGUGGGAAGGCCCAGACAGCCAGGAUGUUGGCUUAGAAGCAGCCAUCAUUUAAAGAAAGCGUAAUAGCUCACUGGUCGAGUCGGCCUGCGCGGAAGAUGUAACGGGGCUAAACCAUGCACCGAAGCUGCGGCAGCGACGCUUAUGCGUUGUUGGGUAGGGGAGCGUUCUGUAAGCCUGUGAAGGUGUACUGUGAGGUAUGCUGGAGGUAUCAGAAGUGCGAAUGCUGACAUAAGUAACGAUAAAGCGGGUGAAAAGCCCGCUCGCCGGAAGACCAAGGGUUCCUGUCCAACGUUAAUCGGGGCAGGGUGAGUCGACCCCUAAGGCGAGGCCGAAAGGCGUAGUCGAUGGGAAACAGGUUAAUAUUCCUGUACUUGGUGUUACUGCGAAGGGGGGACGGAGAAGGCUAUGUUGGCCGGGCGACGGUUGUCCCGGUUUAAGCGUGUAGGCUGGUUUUCCAGGCAAAUCCGGAAAAUCAAGGCUGAGGCGUGAUGACGAGGCACUACGGUGCUGAAGCAACAAAUGCCCUGCUUCCAGGAAAAGCCUCUAAGCAUCAGGUAACAUCAAAUCGUACCCCAAACCGACACAGGUGGUCAGGUAGAGAAUACCAAGGCGCUUGAGAGAACUCGGGUGAAGGAACUAGGCAAAAUGGUGCCGUAACUUCGGGAGAAGGCACGCUGAUAUGUAGGUGAAGUCCCUCGCGGAUGGAGCUGAAAUCAGUCGAAGAUACCAGCUGGCUGCAACUGUUUAUUAAAAACACAGCACUGUGCAAACACGAAAGUGGACGUAUACGGUGUGACGCCUGCCCGGUGCCGGAAGGUUAAUUGAUGGGGUUAGCGCAAGCGAAGCUCUUGAUCGAAGCCCCGGUAAACGGCGGCCGUAACUAUAACGGUCCUAAGGUAGCGAAAUUCCUUGUCGGGUAAGUUCCGACCUGCACGAAUGGCGUAAUGAUGGCCAGGCUGUCUCCACCCGAGACUCAGUGAAAUUGAACUCGCUGUGAAGAUGCAGUGUACCCGCGGCAAGACGGAAAGACCCCGUGAACCUUUACUAUAGCUUGACACUGAACAUUGAGCCUUGAUGUGUAGGAUAGGUGGGAGGCUUUGAAGUGUGGACGCCAGUCUGCAUGGAGCCGACCUUGAAAUACCACCCUUUAAUGUUUGAUGUUCUAACGUUGACCCGUAAUCCGGGUUGCGGACAGUGUCUGGUGGGUAGUUUGACUGGGGCGGUCUCCUCCUAAAGAGUAACGGAGGAGCACGAAGGUUGGCUAAUCCUGGUCGGACAUCAGGAGGUUAGUGCAAUGGCAUAAGCCAGCUUGACUGCGAGCGUGACGGCGCGAGCAGGUGCGAAAGCAGGUCAUAGUGAUCCGGUGGUUCUGAAUGGAAGGGCCAUCGCUCAACGGAUAAAAGGUACUCCGGGGAUAACAGGCUGAUACCGCCCAAGAGUUCAUAUCGACGGCGGUGUUUGGCACCUCGAUGUCGGCUCAUCACAUCCUGGGGCUGAAGUAGGUCCCAAGGGUAUGGCUGUUCGCCAUUUAAAGUGGUACGCGAGCUGGGUUUAGAACGUCGUGAGACAGUUCGGUCCCUAUCUGCCGUGGGCGCUGGAGAACUGAGGGGGGCUGCUCCUAGUACGAGAGGACCGGAGUGGACGCAUCACUGGUGUUCGGGUUGUCAUGCCAAUGGCACUGCCCGGUAGCUAAAUGCGGAAGAGAUAAGUGCUGAAAGCAUCUAAGCACGAAACUUGCCCCGAGAUGAGUUCUCCCUGACUCCUUGAGAGUCCUGAAGGAACGUUGAAGACGACGACGUUGAUAGGCCGGGUGUGUAAGCGCAGCGAUGCGUUGAGCUAACCGGUACUAAUGAACCGUGAGGCUUAACCU